rnacentral:lncRNA from 1 species
AAUACAUUGAAUAACACAAAUAGAGCUUCUGGUGAGUACAUUCAUCGAACUACUAUAUUGAUCGAACUAAAACACAAAAUACAUCUUCUGACAUUCUAUUAACAAGAUUAUAGAGAAAAAACCCAAAUACAUUAUUACAUUGCAUAACAAGCUAAAAUACAAUAUUAGCUUCAAGACUUUCUUCCACUUCAAUUAUUUUUGUUGAUUGUUGAUCUUCUUUAGCAAACCCAAUAUCACAACAUUUGCUUGCCGAGGGAAUUGAGGGUCGUACCACUCGAAAUAUUCAUGUGGACUUCUUCAUUUAGACAGUGUGGAAUCAAAAUAAAUAAAAUCAAAACUUCAGAAAAAUCAAACAAAAUACAACCCAUACAAAAAUUUCAGAAAUUAACCUACCCUAUAGUACUUACAACCGAAGAAUCUACGCCCAGGGUUGUCAUUGGACCAUGAAAUUUUCAAUACUGGAGGACACCCACACGCACAAAAUAACUUCCGCUUCGAAUCCAUGAAGUAAAAUUGGAAGAAGACUUAGAAAGUUGAUGGCAUGAAGAAGAAAAUGCACAACAAAUGUUCU